rnacentral:rRNA from 1 species
ACAAGCGGUGGAGCAUGUGGUUUAAUUCGAUGCAACGCGAAGAACCUUACCUGGGUUUGACAUAUAGGUUGUAGGGAACUGAAAGGGACCGACCCUUCGGGGAGCCUAUACAGGUGUUGCAUGGCUGUCGUCAGCUCGUGUCGUGAGAUGUUCGGUUAAGUCCGCUAACGAGCGCAACCCUCGUCGUAUGUUAUAUGUGUCAUACGAGACUGCCGGUAAAAGCCGGAGGAAGGUGAGGAUGAUGUCAAGUCAGCAUGACCUUUAUAUCCAGGGCUACACACACGCUACAAUGGUCUGUACAAUGGGUAGCCAAGCCGCGAGGCGGAGCCAAUCCUGAAAGCAGGCCUCAGUUCAGAUUGCAGUCUGCAACUCGACUGCAUGAAGCCGGAGUUGCUAGUAACCGCAGGUCAGCAAUACUGCGGUGAAUACGUUCCCGGGUCUU